rnacentral:tRNA from 2 species
GCGGGUGUAGCUCAGUUGGAAGAGCGACAGCUUGCCAUGCUGUAGGUCGUGGGUUCGAAUCCCAUCACCCGCU